UGUGAAGAAAAUAACGAAAUGGUCCUUGUUUAUGACCACAUGGCACAUGGAACACUAAGGGAACAUCUUUAUAAAGGUAACAAAAUUACAUUAACUUGGAAGCAAAGGUUGGAUAUCUGUAUCGGCGCAGCUAGAGGACUUCAUUACCUUCACACGGGAUCUAAAUACACCAUUAUUCAUCGGGAUGUGAAAAGUACAAACAUUCUAUUAAAUGACCAGUGGGUAGCUAAGGUUUCAGAUUUUGGACUUUCGAAAACAGGUCCAAACAUGAACCAAGGACAUGUUACAACAGUCGUAAAAGGUAGCUUUGGGUAUUUGGACCCCGAAUACUUCAGAAGACAACAGUUAACUGAAAAAUCAGACGUGUACUCGUUUGGGGUUGUCCUAUUUGAAGUAUUGUGUGCCAGGCCAGCGCUUAACGCGAACCUUCCAAAGGAACAAGUCAGCCUAGCAGAUUGGGCGUUAGUUUGUCAAAGGAAAGGGAAUUUAGAAGAUAUUAUCGAUCCACAGUUGAAAGGAAAGAUCAAUCCUGAAUGCUUGAAGAAAUUUGCAGAAACAGCAGAGAAAUGCUUAGCUGAUAACGGUAUAGACCGUCCAUCCAUGGGCGAUGUCUUAUGGAAUCUUGAAUACGCGCUGCAGUUAGAAGAGAAUCCAGAUGGGGUCUUAGCAACUUCCGAGUCAACGAAAGAAGUGGAUCAUGGCAGUGCUGAAGAAGUAUCUCAACACAAUUUGAUAGCUAUGCAUAGAAGCACUUUGAGCCUUGAAAGUGAUAAAGGUGAUAACAACACAGAUGACGUAUUUUCGCAGAUUGUAAAUCCAACGGGAAGGUAAUAACAUCACAUAGGCUCCUCUUUCUUAUCAUCGAUCUGUUAUGAUGAGAGUAAGAAUUUGUACAAAUAUAUUAAAUACCAUCUGUAUCUACUAUAUAAGGAAAAUCAUAGCAUGUCAUUGAAUAAUGCUGCAAUAGACAGCCAUUUUUGUAACUCUCUUCAUUCCGAUUAAUAUGACACUUACCUUAUUUGGAUUGAAUCCCCGCCUUUCAUCCACUGCUCAUCGCCAAGUUAUAUAAUGUUUUCCAUUUAGUUCACCUGUGUCAGCUCGUUCACAUCGCUGUCCAAAGCAUAGAUAAAGGAGGAGGGUUGCUGAGGGUCAAAUCGGAAGCAACCUCUCUACCCAUCGCGGUAAGAUUGAGUACAUCUUACCGUCCUCGAGAUAUAACUCAGAAUUAACAUGCCAAUAGUUCUAAAGUUUGAUGACUUUAUUCACCAUAUACAAAAACAAUAAUUAUUUUCAUUGAAAAUUUCUUCUAUAUUUUGGGAUUUACAUAACUUUGUUCAUUUAUUUCAUUUAAAAAUAUUAACAAAUAUAGCAUCCCUACAGACCUUUUGUUGUAAGUUUGCAUGUCUACCAUGAAAUGUGAAUUUCUAACAGCAAACUCUGAAUAGCAAAGAUUGAAGAGCUAAGCAAAAACAUCACACAACAGUAGUAAUUGUGAUAGACAGAAAAGGCAUCCCUGUGCACUAAACCUCCUGUAUGUGCAGGGUUUGAGGAAGGGUCCCACCACAAUGGUGUAUUGUACGCAGCCUUAACUUACAUUUUUACAAGAGGCUGUUUCCAAGGUUUGAACCUGUGACCUCCUGGUGAUACGGCAACAACUUUACCAGUAAUUCUCUGUGAUAAGUUUUCGAAAAUGUAGCAAUUGAUUUUUCGUUAAGAAUAAAGCCUGAGAUAUCGUUAAGAUUGUUGGAAGUAUUAUGAAAAAUACUUCAUCACGAACAUUUAUAAGGAAUUCUCAUAGUUUGAGGCGUGUCAAAGAUACUAUCGUUAAGAAUAUUUUACGCGGUUAUGUGUAUAUCCCCAGGUUUCAACAAACUUUUCUAGUAUAAAACUCGGGAAAAAGGUUCAAAAUAUAUCUAAACCUUGGCGAAAUUUGUUGUUACACACCUCAACUUUGACCCUCCUCGACUAUAUAUUACCGUAUUUAUAUGCCCAGCUGGACCACUGGUGAAUACACGCGCACUGGCGCGUAAGGAUCUGAAGUGGAUUGAUGCCUAUUGGUAAAAGGAUCAAUGGUUAAGGAUUAAUACCUAUUAAAAAGGAUGAAUAACAAGGAAGAGAAAAAGAUCUUUUACCAUAUUAGUCAAAAGUAAUGUAUGGCAAAUGAAGUUUUCACCAUAAUAAUUGUUAUAAUAUUUGUAAAUUUGCUUCCAUUGAUGUGUGUUGAAUACCAUUUACACUUUUCACUCCUAACCAUUCAUCAGAGUGAGUGGUGUGUGUUGAAUGAAAGCAAAAAAGAUGUAAACAAAAGAAGAAAAAUUAAAGAAUGUGAAAAACAUUACACAGUUUUUUCGAUUUGAUGGUUUGUUGUAAGGCAUCCUAUAUCGAUAAAUGAUUUAAACCUCUUUCAACGAUGGAUGCAUAGAAGGCAAGAAAUGAUCUGGUCUUCGCCAUAAAUCAAACACAAAAGAAUCUGUCGUUUUCAUUUUUUUUGCCUCAAGGCGUACAGAAAACAUUGUUUUCUUGUACGCCUUCUUUUUUUGUUAACACAAUGUUAACAGAAAUCCGCAUUUUGCUACUAUUCAUAUGUGUUUCUUCAAGUUGGCGCGUCCUGCAUGCUGCUGUGACAGGUGAUAAAAAUUCAUUGUUCUUAGCAUGUGGUUCUCAAAACGGUGGAACAGAUGGAGAUAACAGGAAAUGGGAUUCGGAUACGAAGUAUCUUGUAUCAGGUGAUAAAUCAGUCAUGACACAACCUCAAUCCAAUGAUCCUUCUGUUCCGUCUGUUGUACCGUAUGCAAAUGCAAGAUUUUUUCAAUCAGAAACUUCAUAUAAUCUUCCGGUUACAAACCAAACAUCGCGUAUUUUGCUCAGGCUUCAUUUUUACCCGACUCCUUAUCCUAAUUUCAACGUUUCCAAUUCAUACCUCUCUCUUUCCGUUGGUCAAGUUGAAUUGUUGACUAAUUUUAGCGCGUAUAUAACUGCACAAGCGUUGUCACAAAAUUACAUUAUUAAAGAGUACCUUUUGACUCCUGUGAGUUCUCCAACUUUGGAGAUCAAAAUUACGCCUUUUGGUAAUUCGUCGCUUGCAUUCAUCAGUGGAAUCGAAAUGAUCAACUCGCCUGAUUUGUUUUUCGGCCCUGAUCCUGUGAUGGCUGGAUUCAGUUCUAAUGACGGAGCUAAUUCUGGAGAUGUUGUUUCUCAGCAGACUAUAUCUGUCAAGGAAAAUAAUAUGGAGUUGAUGUAUAGGGUCAACGUUGGCGGACAAUUUAUUCCUCCGAAAAAUGAUUCAGGAGGGUUAAUGAGGAGUUGGUAUGACGAUACUCCCUUCGUGUAUGGCGGUUCAGGAGUUGGCAUUGCUAUGACUAGCAACAUGACGAUUCGUUAUGAUGACUUGCCAUCGUACGUUGCACCACUUGCUGUAUACCAGACUUGCAGAUCGAUGGGUUUUGAGUCGAAUGUCAACAAGAAUUAUAACCUUACUUGGGUUUUCAAUGUUGAUGCAAACUUUACAUAUGUCGUGAGGUUUCACUGGUGCGAUUUCAUCGUUGAUUCCAUGAAGAUCAAUUCCUUGGUCUUUAAGGUAUAUAUCAAUGGACAAAUUGCGGAAAGUGAAAUAGAUUUAGUCGCGAUGGAACAUGGGAAGAAGGCUACUCCUUUAGUAAGAGAUUAUGUGACUCGUGUUGACGAUAAAAAAGGAGAUGAUCUGCUGUGGAUAUCAGUGCAUCCAGCAGGAGCUAGUGCUACUUUAGUUAAUGCUAUCGUAAAUGGACUAGAGAUAUUUAAGAUCGGUGGAGGAACUACGAGCUUGGCGGGUAAGAAUCCUACAAUGUCAGACUUAAUGAAGAAGUAUCAGGAAGAACAAAGUAAACAAGAACCUCCGGGGAAAUUCGCUGAUCAGGACAAAUCGUCAAAUAGUAAUACUGUUAUAAUCAGUAGUGCUGCUGGCGGAGUUGCUGCAUUCGGUGUAGCUGCUGUUUUGGUCAUUGUUGCUUUGAAGAGGAAAAAGAGAUCUGCGGGAGCUGAAUCAGGCACGAAUAGUUGGCUACCGAUUUAUGGGAACUCUCAUACUUCCGCUAGCAAAUCAGGUGGUGGUAGCACGACCAUUUCAUCAGAUGCUGCUAGUAACUGUCGAUACUUUUCACUCGCUGAGAUCAAACAAGCUACUAAAAACUUCGACGAAUCAAAUGUCAUUGGAGUUGGUGGAUUUGGAAAGGUGUACAAAGGCGUUAUCGAUGGUGACACAAAAGUUGCAAUCAAAAGAUCAAACCCGUCUUCAGAACAAGGUGUCAAUGAAUUCCAGACUGAAAUCGAGAUGCUUUCAAAGCUAAGGCAUCGACACUUGGUGUCCUUGAUCGGAUUUUGUGAAGAAAAUCGUGAAAUGGUCCUUGUUUACGACUACAUGUCACACGGAACAUUAAGGGAACAUCUUUAUAAAGGUAACAAAACUAUACUAUCUUGGAAGCAAAGGUUGGACAUCUGUAUCGGCGCAGCCAGAGGACUUCAUUACCUUCACACAGGAGCUAAAUACACCAUUAUUCAUCGGGAUGUGAAAAGUACAAACAUUUUGUUGAACGACAAGUGGGUAGCUAAGGUUUCAGAUUUUGGACUUUCGAAAACCGGUCCAAACAUGAACCAAGGACAUGUUACAACAGU
rnacentral:lncRNA from 1 species